GCGGGUAACACCGGCGGCCCGAGUGGUGAUCGUGAUUAUUGGGUCUAAAGGGUCCGUAGCCGGUUUGGUCAGUCCUCCGGGAAAUCUGAUAGCUCAACUAUUAGGCUUUCGGGGGAUACUGCCAGACUUGGAACCGGGAGAGGUAAGAGGUACUACAGGGGUAGGAGUGAAAUCUUGUAAUCCCUGUGGGACCACCUGUGGCGAAGGCGUCUUACCAGAACGGGUUCGACGGUGAGGGACGAAAGCUGGGGGCACGAACCGGAUUAGAUACCCGGGUAGUCCCAGCCGUAAACGAUGCUCGCUAGGUGUCAGGCAUGGCGCGACCGUGUCUGGUGCCGCAGGGAAGCCGUGAAGCGAGCCACCUGGGAAGUACGGCCGCAAGGCUGAAACUUAAAGGAAUUGGCGGGGGAGCACAACAACGGGUGGAAGCCUGCGGUUUAAUUGGACUCAACGCCGGACAACUCACCGGGGGCGACAGCAAUAUGUAGGCCAAGCUGAAGACUUUGCCUGAAUCGCUGAGAGGAGGUGCAUGG
rnacentral:rRNA from 1 species